GAUGAACGCUGGCGGCGUGCCUAAUACAUGCAAGUCGAGCGAAUGGAUUAAGAGCUUGCUCUUAUGAAGUUAGCGGCGGACGGGUGAGUAACACGUGGGUAACCUGCCCACAAGACUGGGAUAACUCCGGGAAACCGGGGCUAAUACCGGAUACUAUUGUGAACUGCAUGGUUCAAACUUGACAGGCCGCUAAGACUGUCACUUAUGGAUGCAUCAGCGUCGCAUUAGCAAGUUGAUGAGGUAACGGCUCACAAAGGCAACGAUGCGUAGCCGACAUGAGAGGGUGAUCGGCCACACUGGGACUGAGACACGGCCCAGACUCCUACGGGAGGCAGCAGUAGGGAAUCUUCCGCAAUGGACGAAAGUCUUACGGAUCAACGCCGCGUUAGUGAUGAAGGCUUUCGGGUCUUAAAACUCUGUUGUUAGGGAAGAACAAGUGCUAGUUGAAUAAGCUGGCUCCUUGACGUUACCUAACCAGAAAGCCACGGCUAACUACGUGCCAGCCGCCGCAGUAA
rnacentral:rRNA from 1 species